AUACUGCUAAGUAAAUUAAUCCCAUUUCAGUGAUGGUGCUGCUGCUUUGGUAUUGGUCAGUGGAAAGAAAGCCAUUGAGCUUGGUUUAACAGUGAUUGCAAAGAUCACGGGAUAUGCAGAUGCUGCUCAGGCACCAGAAUUAUUUACAACUUCUCCUGCUCUUGCAAUUCCAAAAGCAAUAAAAAAUGCUGGUCUAGAAGCCUCUCAAGUUGAUUAUUACGAAAUAAAUGAAGCUUUUGCGGCUGUAGCCCUCGCAAAUCAGAAACUACUGGGGAUUAAUGCGGACAAAGUAAAUGUACACGGUGGAGCCGUGUCUCUGGGUCACCCUCUUGGAUGCAGCGGAGCCCGAAUAUUGGUUACACUUCUCGGGGUCCUGAAGCAGAAGAAUGGAAAAUACGGAGUUGGUGGCAUUUGCAACGGUGGAGGCGGCGCUUCAGCCCUUGUUUUAGAACUGCUGUAACCCAAUUUACGGCUAUUUACAGACAACCCAUAGAUUAUUGAUUACCAGACAUGGUGAUUUCGAGUAUAAAAUGAUGUUCGAAUUCCAUGUAUCUUUUGUAUUCUUCACCAAUAAAUACUAGUGUGUUUAAAUUAUUGAAGAAAUGUAUAACAUAAAUUAUUACUUUUUGUCUGA